AUUUGAUGCUCUAGAAAAACAGUCAGGACAGGUUUCUGGUUCCUGAAAGGUCUACCUGAAGGAUCAUCUUCCUGGGGUAGUUAGGGUUCUGUUGUUCUCGAAGAUGGAGUGCUUUUUCUCCACCUGUAACUCAACAUCACUCUUUGUUCUGCAUCCUACAUCAUCUCUACAUCAUCUAGUGGCCCAGAAUAUUCUGGAACGUCUACAGCACGGUCCAUUUAUUGAGAAGUACACAGUGCUAAGCAUUAGAUACAGAGAACAUCCAGGGGUUUAUAAACAAUCAAACAUGGUGGAAAGAUUUGUAAAUGUUCUUCAGUUUGAGAACACGCAUCCAGAAAGUUGUGAAUCAGCUCCAGGGUUCCUGGUUCUCUUGAUUUCAGGUUACUGUCUGAGUGACUGUUUAAAAGUGAUCAUCAAAGUAGGCUUGUUUAGACACAAUAACAAUGACGUUAAAAUUUUGUGUAGUCUGUAAAUUACAUUCUGAUCUCUAAUUAGCAUGGUAUGCUAUGUUUAUGGUAUGGUAUGUUUAUGGUAUGGUAUGUUUAUGGUAUGGUAUGUUUAGGUAUUUUUUUUUUAAUAUAAUAAAAGUUCCCCAUGUCAGCUACAUUUAAAUGGAAGUUUAAAUUAAAGUGUGCACACAGUGUAGACGAAGAAAACAUUUCAAAUAUCUCUGACCUUUUCUGAAAUGUUAAACAGCGAGGCAGAGGUGUGCUCACAGCAAAGCACUUCUGACAAGCCCUAAUAUAGACAACUAAGACAAAGUGGACUGUAGAGAUUACAAGAACCCUGGUCGAGAACCUUCAGACAGAACGCUGGGAGAGAACCCUGGUCGAGAACCUUCAGACAGAACCCUGGGAGAGAACCGUGGUCGAGAACCUUCAGACAGAACCCUGGGAGAGAACCGUGGUCGAGAACCUUCAGACAGAACCCUGGGAGAGAACCGUGGUCGAGAACCUUCAGACAGAACCCUGGGAGAGAAGAUAUUUUACACCUGCAUGCCUGAUUGUUAUAUGUGUUGUUAUAAGAAGCACUUUUCAGGGCAAUGUAAUUUGGUGAAGCAUCUUACAACCAAACUGUGGAGAAUGUAACAAGCCUAAUAAUAAUAAAGCUGCUAAUAAAACAGCUUUAGAUCUAUACCACAUUUACAGUAUGUAAUAAAUUGUAGCAUGUAGCUAAUUGUAAGUCAGUUUUGUAUAUGAUGAGCGCUGAGAACAUCUUUAAUAACUUCCCCAUCAAUGUUAAUUCAAUUAGCCAAGACUUUGAAAAAGUGCCGUAAAUUUAGGAGAGGUGUGUGAGAAGUUGGAGAAGAACCAUUCAUCUGCCUCAGUAGGGAAUUUUGUAUGGUGAAGUGUAGAGCAGCCCGCCUCUCUCUCUCUCUCUCUCUCUCUCUCUCUCUCUCUCUCUCUCUCUCUCUCUCUCUCUCUCUCUCUCUCUCUCUCUCUAAAUGGAAUGGUAUUCAGUGUUUGGACCUGAAGAGAAAGGCAGCAUUCACGUCCUGGAAGCCAAACAAAACAGUUGGGUAGGCUGUUUUUCCAUCAUAAGGGGUCACAGCUUUUUGUCUUCUGAUAGGCCACAUUGCCAUUUACAGUCAGUCGCCCAGUGGGCAGACGCAGACAGAAGAAAACCAGACAGAGGGUAAAGGUGGACUAAACAGAAACAAAUGAGGAAAAUAUUCUAAUGAAGUGUUAGGACUGUGUAAAGACAUCCCUCUAAGGAGCUGCUACUGGAUCUGCUGAAAGAUCCUGUCUCUGUUGCCUGUGGACACAGUUUCUGUAUGUACUGCAUCAACAGACAGUGGGAUGGACAGGUUCACAGCAGAGUUUACACCUGCCCCCUGUGUAAACAGCGUUUUAGCCCACGACCGAUCUUGGGCCGGAACAUCAUGUUGGUUGAAAUGGUGAAGAAGCUGAAGAAGACACGUGUUCCUGAAAGAACCCUCGCUGGCAUGUUGUGUUUGAGUGUAGAAGCCAUAAAACCAAUUCCCUCACAACUCAACGGUUUAUUCAACAGCGAGAGAUUAGAAACAUCCGGACACAGGUUCUCCAGAGAUCUCGAACAGCAGAGAACAGCGUGAAAGAUCUGAAGAAAGCAAUACAGUUAAUCAAGUCCUCUGCAAAGACAACACUGGACCAAAGUGAGAUGUUUGUGGAGUCGAUCGGCUCAGCAGAACGGAAACGCUCAGAGAUUAGAGUAAUAAUCAAAGCUACAGAAGAAGCUGAAGUGCAGCGAGCAGAGGAAAGUCCGCAGCGUAUGGACCAGGCAGUGACUAAACUGAAGAAGAGAGAUAACGAACUGGUUCAGCUUCCACGGGCUCCAUGAAUCUCUCUGACUUUUCAACAUUUCAUGAUGUUCCACACAUUACUGUCAACCUGCCACCUUUUAAAGAAAUCCACACUUGUGUGUCUGAGCUGACGGUGAAGGUGAAAGACUUCUACAUGACUGCAUUACAGACAAAGUCCAAAUCAGCAGAUUUUCGUUGGUUGACAGUGGAUCCUAGAACAGCCCACAGGAACCUCCAGCUGUCUGAGGGCAACAGAACAAUAACCUUUGAUGACGCAAGUACACACUGUCACAGAGAGCCUGAGAGAUUUAACUGCUACACUCAGGCUCUGUGUAGAGAAGCUCUUCAGGAGUGCUGUUACUGGGAGGUGGAAUGGCGAGGUCAGCAGGUUCACAUUACAGCACCGUACAGAGGAGUGGAAAGAAUUGGCUGCUGUUCUAAUGUGGCCUUCGGACACAAUGAUAAAUCCUGGAGUUUAUGUUGUAAUUCCUCUCAGUUUUCUUUCUUUCAUAAUGAACGUAAGACCGUUAAUUCAGGUCCGUUGUCCACAAGAAUAGGAAUUUAUCUGGAUCACAGAGCCGGGUCUCUGUCCUUCUACAGCAUCACAGACACUAUGACUCUCCUCCUCCGAGUCUGCACCACAUUCACCGAGACCCUGCACGCCGGAUUCUGGACGUUCGAUGGCUCCAGUGUGAAACUGUGUGAGAAAACCGAGACCGUGCGUCCUCAAACGUGUCCUACGGCUGCCAAUAAACUUUCAUACAGACUUCAAUUUGAGCUUAACUUCAGUCUUUGUUUCAACAGCACUAGGCCCAGGUACCCGAAAAUGUUGUAGUCAUUUACAGUGUAAACAUGUUUAUAGUUUGGUGGAGCAGGUAGGAACAAUAGAUGUUUUCAGGAAUGUGGUAAAUAUUCCAGUGCAUAUAUUUAGUUUAGUAAUGUGAUUAUUUUCUCCUUUGCAGGUAAAUGCCACAUAUCCUGCAGCUGUCUUUUAGUAAUUAUUGGUGUAAAGACUGUUCUAAGCCCUUCUCAUUUUAAACCUCUAGUUUUAACCCUAUGCUCUAUACUCUCUAUAUGUGUUUUGUUGUAUUUUAUUCAAGCUGCUCUGAACAUAUUAAGGACAAUUAUUUAGUAGUCACUGGGUCCAUAUGGCUCCAGCAGUCAAUCACUGAGCAUGAUGUUGAGCUUCACACCGUGUUCGGGAUCAGGAUAAUUAUUAAAGAUUGCAGAACCAAACACAAAAUGGAAAUCAGUCUUUUGACACAUUUUGGAAUUGAAAUAAAAAACGCAUCAAACAUUUUCA